rnacentral:rRNA from 1 species
AACUGAGCGUGGAGAUAGCUGGUUCUCUCCGAAAUAGCUUUAGGGCUAGCCUCAAGUGAUGAUUAUUGGAGGUAGAGCACUGUUUGGACGAGGGGCCCCUCUCGGGUUACCGAAUUCAGACAAACUCCGAAUGCCAAUUAAUUUAACUUGGGAGUCAGAACAUGGGUGAUAAGGUCCGUGUUCGAAAGGGAAACAGCCCAGACCACCAGCUAAGGUCCCAAAAUAUAUGUUAAGUGGAAAAGGAUGUGGCGUUGCCCAGACAACUAGGAUGUUGGCUUAGAAGCAGCCAUCAUUUAAAGAGUGCGUAAUAGCUCACUAGUCGAGUGACACUGCGCCGAAAAUGUACCGGGGCUAAACAUAUUACCGAAGCUGUGGAUUGUCCUUUGGACAAUGGUAGGAGAGCGUUCUAAGGGCGUUGAAGCAUGAUCGCAAGGACAUGUGGAGCGCUUAGAAGUGAGAAUGCCGGUGUGAGUAGCGAAAGACGGGUGAGAAUCCCGUCCACCGAUUGACUAAGGUUUCCAGAGGAAGGCUCGUCCGCUCUGGGUUAGUCGGGUCCUAAGCUGAGGCCGACAGGCGUAGGCGAUGGAUAACAGGUUGAUAUUCCUGUACCACCUAUAAUCGUUUUAAUCGAUGGGGGGACGCAGUAGGAUAGGCGAAGCGUACGAUUGGAUUGUACGUCUAAGCAGUGAGAUUGAGUGUUAGGCAAAUCCGACACUCUUAAGAUUGAGCUGUGAUGGGGAGAGGAAAUUGUUUCCUCGAGUCGUUGAUUUCACACUGCCGAGAAAAGCCUCUAGAUAGAGAUUAGGUGCCCGUACCGCAAACCGACACAGGUAGUCAAGAUGAGAAUUCUAAGGUGAGCGAGCGAACUCUCGUUAAGGAACUCGGCAAAAUGACCCCGUAACUUCGGGAGAAGGGGUGCUCUUUAGGGUGCAAGCCCAGAAGAGCCGCAGUGAAUAGGCCCAAGCGACUGUUUAUCAAAAACACAGGUCUCUGCUAAACCGUAAGGUGAUGUAUAGGGGCUGACGCCUGCCCGGUGCUGGAAGGUUAAGAGGAGUGGUUAGCUUCUGCGAAGCUACGAAUCGAAGCCCCAGUAAACGGCGGCCGUAACUAUAACGGUCCUAAGGUAGCGAAAUUCCUUGUCGGGUAAGUUCCGACCCGCACGAAAGGCGUAACGAUUUGGGCACUGUCUCAACGAGAGACUCGGUGAAAUCAUAGUACCUGUGAAGAUGCAGGUUACCCGCGACAGGACGGAAAGACCCCGUGGAGCUUUACUGUAGCCUGAUAUUGAAAUUCGGCACAGCUUGUACAGGAUAGGUAGGAGCCUUUGAAACGUGAGCGCUAGCUUACGUGGAGGCGUUGGUGGGAUACUACCCUAGCUGUGUUGGCUUUCUAACCCGCACCACUUAUCGUGGUGGGAGACAGUGUCAGGCGGGCAGUUUGACUGGGGCGGUCGCCUCCUAAAAGGUAACGGAGGCGCUCAAAGGUUCCCUCAGAAUGGUUGGAAAUCAUUCAUAGAGUGUAAAGGCAUAAGGGAGCUUGACUGCGAGACCUACAAGUCGAGCAGGGUCGAAAGACGGACUUAGUGAUCCGGUGGUUCCGCAUGGAAGGGCCAUCGCUCAACGGAUAAAAGCUACCCCGGGGAUAACAGGCUUAUCUCCCCCAAGAGUUCACAUCGACGGGGAGGUUUGGCACCUCGAUGUCGGCUCAUCGCAUCCUGGGGCUGUAGUCGGUCCCAAGGGUUGGGCUGUUCGCCCAUUAAAGCGGUACGCGAGCUGGGUUCAGAACGUCGUGAGACAGUUCGGUCCCUAUCCGUCGUGGGCGUAGGAAAUUUGAGAGGAGCUGUCCUUAGUACGAGAGGACCGGGAUGGACAUACCUCUGGUGUACCAGUUGUCGUGCCAACGGCAUAGCUGGGUAGCUAUGUAUGGACGGGAUAAGUGCUGAAAGCAUCUAAGCAUGAAGCCCCCCUCAAGAUGAGAUUUCCCAACUUCGGUUAUAAGAUCCCUCAGAGAUGAUGAGGUUAAUAGGUUCGAGGUGGAAGCGUGGUGACACGUGGAGCUGACGAAUACUAAUCGAUCGAAGACUUAAUCAAUUU